UACGAAGGGGGCUAGCGUUGCUCGGAAUCACUGGGCGUAAAGCGCACGUAGGCGGAUUGCUAAGUCAGGGGUGAAAUCCUGGAGCUCAACUCCAGAACUGCCCUUGAUACUGGCGGUCUCGAGUCCGGGAGAGGUGAGUGGAACUGCGAGUGUAGAGGUGAAAUUCGUAGAUAUUCGGAAGAACACCAGUGGCGAAGGCGACUUACUGGACACAUAUUGACGCUGAGGUGCGAAAGCGUGGGGAGCAAACAGG
rnacentral:rRNA from 1 species